AUGGGGAGAUUCACCGACAGCGGCGUCGGCCUCCCGUUGGCGCGCGAUGACUCGAACGCGUAACCUCGCGGUUUCGUGGCUCGGGCACGCCGUCUUCGGCGAACGUCCGGCGUCGUAGUCGUGCACUUCUCCCCUAGUAGAACGUCGCGACCCGUCGGGUGUCGGUCUACGGCCCGAGUGGGCGCCUGUCACGUCGCUUCUCGCGCACGUGGCAGACCCUCGGUAGCCUGGCCGGCUGCUCGGCGGUACUCGUACGGUAUCGGGCCGCAACCAAUCCAUCUCGAAUGUGUGUGCGUCAGGCCCGCCGCAAGCUCGGUCAUCAAACCCGAAGGCACGGCCUUUGUGCCGUCCCCGGGAAUGGCCAGCUGUUAGCAGGCGGUGUCCUUGGACUGGCCAAAGCUCUUCCAAAUACCGGUCGGCGACGCUAUUGCUUUGGGUACUCUCAGGACCCGUCUUGAAACACGGACCAAGGAGUCUAACAUGUGCGCGAGUCAUUGGGAACGCAAAACCUAAAGGCGAAAUGAAAGUGAAGGUCGGCCCUCGCGCCGACCGAGGGAGGAUGGGCCGCGUACCCAUGCGGCUCCGCACUCCCGGGGCGUCUCGUUCUCAUUGCGAGAAGAGGCGCACCCAGAGCGUACACGUUGGGACCCGAAAGAUGGUGAACUAUGCCUGGUCAGGACGAAGUCAGGGGAAACCCUGAUGGAGGUCCGUAGCGAUUCUGACGUGCAAAUCGAUCGUCGGAACUGGGUAUAGGGGCGAAAGACUAAUCGAACCAUCUAGUAGCUGGUUCCCUCCGAAGUUUCCCUCAGGAUAGCUGGCACUCGUCUGAGCGAGUCUCAUCUGGUAA
rnacentral:rRNA from 1 species